GGAUGGCUCAGUGGUUAAGAGCGCUGACUACUGUUCCAGAGGUCCUGAGUUUGAUUCCCAGCAUCCA
rnacentral:tRNA from 1 species